CCUACGGGAGGCAGCAGUAGGGAAUAUUGCACAAUGGGGGAAACCCUGAUGCAGCAACGCCGCGUGGGUGAUGACGGUUUUCGGAUUGUAAACUCCUGUCGUCAGAGACGAUAAUGACGGUACCUAACGAAUAAGCACCGGCUAACUCCGUGCCAGCAGCCGCGGUAAUACGGAGGGUGCAAGCGUUGCUCGGAUUUACUGGGCGUAAAGGGCGCGUAGGCGGGAUAGCAAGUCAGAUGUGAAAUACUAGGGCUUAACCUGAGUACUGCAUUUGAAACUGGUAUUCUAGAGUGCGGGAGAGGAGAAUGGAAUUCCUAGGGUAGGGGUGAAAUGCGGAGAGAUUAAGAAGAAUAC
rnacentral:rRNA from 1 species